GAAGUUAGCGGCGGACGGGUGAGUAACACGUGGGUAACCUGCCCAUAAGACUGGGAUAACUCCGGGAAACCGGGGCUAAUACCGGAUAAUAUUUUGAACUGCAUGGUUCGAAAUUGAAAGGCGGCUUCGGCUGUCACUUAUGGAUGGACCCGCGUCGCAUUAGCUAGUUGGUGAGGUAACGGCUCACCAAGGCAACGAUGCGUAGCCGACCUGAGAGGGUGAUCGGCCACACUGGGACUGAGACACGGCCCAGACUCCUACGGGAGGCAGCAGUAGGGAAUCUUCCGCAAUGGACGAAAGUCUGACGGAGCAACGCCGCGUGAGUGAUGAAGGCUUUCGGGUCGUAAAACUCUGUUGUUAGGGAAGAACAAGUGCUAGUUGAAUAAGCUGGCACCUUGACGGUACCUAACCAGAAAGCCACGGCUAACUACGUGCCAGCAGCCGCGGUAAUACGUAGGUGGCAAGCGUUAUCCGGAAUUAUUGGGCGUAAAGCGCGCGCAGGUGGUUUCUUAAGUCUGAUGUGAAAGCCCACGGCUCAACCGUGGAGGGUCAUUGGAAACUGGGA
rnacentral:rRNA from 1 species